AUGCUGCCAGCGCUCUGCUCUCUCUUCACUGCUCUCUUAUGUGUCAGUGGUGUGACUGUGGUGACGCAGAAGCCUUCUGUUCUCACACUGACUCAAGGACAGACGGCCACCAUGGACUGUAACCUGGGGACUGUUACUACUAAUGGUGCACGUUGGUUAAAACACAUUCCUGGAGGAGUUCCUCAGCAGGUUCUAGACUAUCAUCAUGGUGAUAGCGCUCCUACCUAUGGAACUGGUUUCUCAUCUCCUAAAUUCACAUCUUCAUACUCCACUAAAUCAGAUUAUAAAUUGAUUAUCACUAAUGUGGAGGUGGGAGACUCAGCAGUGUAUUAUUGUGGGACAUGGGACAGCUCUGCUAAGGAGCGGGGAUCACAGUGAUGUACACCAUGACAAAAACCUCCUCACUGCUCACACUCACUUCUGCUUUCACACAUUAUGGGAAACAACAAAAACCUGAA